UGGGGAAUAUUGCACAAUGGGCGAAAGCCUGAUGCAGCGACGCCGCGUGAGGGAUGACGGCCUUCGGGUUGUAAACCUCUUUCAGCAGGGAAGAAGCGAAAGUGACGGUACCUGCAGAAGAAGCGCCGGCUAACUACGUGCCAGCAGCCGCGGUAAUACGUAGGGCGCAAGCGUUGUCCGGAAUUAUUGGGCGUAAAGAGCUCGUAGGCGGUUAGUCGCGUCUGCUGUGAAAACUCGAGGCUCAACCUCGGGCUUGCAGUGGGUACGGGCUGACUAGAGUGCGGUAGGGGGUGACUGGAAUUCCUGGUGUAGCGGUGGAAUGCGCAGAUAUCAGGAGGAACACCGAUGGCGAAGGCAGGUCACUGGGCCGCAACUGACGCUGAGGAGCGAAAGCAUGGGGAGCGAACAGGAUUAGAUACCCUGGUAGUCCAUGCCGUAAACGUUGGGCACUAGGUGUGGGGUCCAUUUCCACGGAUUCCGUGCCGCAGCAAAACGCAUUAAAGUGCCCCCGCCUGGGGAGUACGGCCGCAAGGCUAAAAACUUAAAAUGAAUUGACGGGGGUC
rnacentral:rRNA from 1 species